rnacentral:rRNA from 1 species
UACAGAGGUCCCAAGCGUUGUUCGGAUUCACUGGGCGUAAAGGGUGCGUAGGUGGUGAGGUAAGUCGGAUGUGAAAGCUCGGAGCUCAACUCCGAAAUGGCAUUGGAAACUACCUCGCUAGAGGAUCGGAGGGGAGACUGGAAUUCUCGGUGUAGCAGUGAAAUGCGUAGAUAUCGAGAGGAACACCAGUGGCGAAGGCGGGUCUCUGGGCAGUAACUGACGCUGAGGAGCGAAAGUGUGGGGAGCAAACGGG